UGGGGAAUAUUGGACAAUGGGCGAAAGCCUGAUCCAGCAAUGCCGCGUGUGUGAAGAAGGCCUUCGGGUUGUAAAGCACUUUCAGCGGGGAAGAAAAACUCAAGGCCAAUACCCUUGAGCAUUGACGUUACCCGCAGAAGAAGCACUGGCUAACUCUGUGCCAGCAGCCGCGGUAAUACAGAGAGUGCAAGCGUUAAUCGGAAUUAUUGGGCGUAAAGCGCACGUAGGUGGAUAUUUAAGUCGGAUGUGAAAGCCCCGGGCUCAACCUGGGAACUGCAUUCGAUACUGGGUAUCUAGAGUAUAGUAGAGGGAAGUGGAAUUUCAGGUGUAGCGGUGAAAUGCGUAGAUAUCUGAAGGAACACCAGUGGCGAAAGCGGCUUCCUGGACUAAUACUGACACUGAGGUGCGAAAGCGUGGGGAGCAAACAGG
rnacentral:rRNA from 1 species